CUUCUCUCUUCCUCUCUCUAUAACUGCACAAAAUUGAAACAAUUUCUCCGUCUUCCUCAUUUGAGGCUGACACAGUAUGAUACAACCCUAUAAUAACAAGUGCAAAAAUUUGCACAACCCUUCCUUCUUCUUUAUCUCUUGCCUUUCUAUGAAUCUAACAACAAUAAAGAAGCGGGCUUAAUCUAAACUGGGGCUGUUGACAUCGUCGCCGUUGAAGGCCAAAGUGGCCCCCACGAUCGCCUCCUAGCCCGUCCAUUAGUCCGACCAAGCCGACUGAGCCGUCCUUCAGAAAACCCGAUCGCUACUUUGUGGUGUGCUUCUUUUCCUCUUUCUCUUUCCUCUUAAUUGAUUUCUUGUUUUUUGCAGAGCUUCCACGUCUUCUUCUUCCUUUGUUGUCAGAGUUAUGGCAAAGAAGAAUCGUUAAAAUUCUGGGAGGCAUUACUCAUCAAGAUUCUGCAGGCCAUAAGGGUACAAUUGGACCCUGUGAUGUGUAGAGAAACAGAAAAAGAGAAAAAGAAGAGAUUGUUGGCCAAUAAAUGAUGAAGAGAAAGGCAAAGGGAAGAUAGUAUAAAUUGGGGCAUUGCAAAGCCAGUACUUACUCUAAUUGAUAAUAUUUUCAAGUGGAGAUUAGGAGUUGUACACUGGAGAUUUGUUUUGCCUUUGUGUAUAAAGACCUUGGGAAUUCUAAAUAUUCCUAUGAAAGCUAUUUUGGUAGUUGUUGUAUCUUUAUUUAUUUAUGCUUGAAUAGUAGUUUUUAAAGUUUGCGAGAGAGGAAGUGUUUAGAACUUAUUUGUAUGAAUUUAGUUAUAA